ACGCGACCCCAGGUCAAGCGGGGCUACCCGCUGAGUUUAAGC
rnacentral:rRNA from 4 species